rnacentral:lncRNA from 1 species
UCGUGACAAAAAUAUUGUAAUGUAUAGUGAGGUAAGUGUAGUGAAAGAGAGAGUUGAGACAAAGAAAAUAGUCUAAGUCUUCAACUAUAUUCACUAUACAAAAGAGAAUAUUUGUAUGUUGAAGGAAACAUUCUUAUGUAGAGCUUUGGACUCUUCAACUAAUCCGGAGUUGUUUGAGGUGUACGACGUUGUUGGGCUGUUGUAUCCUAAAAGGGACAAGUCAAGAGUAUUACUGUCG